AUUGGGCUCUCACUUACAAGUUUAAGUUUUAGGUUGAGUGCUUUCAUGAUAAAUUUCUUUUGCCUAAUUCUGGAGUAUAAAUCAAUCUCAUAAUCAUCAUAAACAGUACUUUCCACAUCAAUUUUUUAUGGUGGCUAGCCUUGGUGCAAUAAUAACAUUGCCCGGUUUUGAGCGAGAGGUGAGGGGGGUUUAAACCAUCAAACAGCUUCCAAGCAAUGCAAAGGAAAUGCUACAUGCAUGUACAUAGAACACCUUAUAGAGCAUGCAAUGUAGGAAACAUCAUGCAUCAACACACCCUUUUUUCAAUCUUCUCCUCACUAUCUUUGUAUUUCAGUACAUUUGUAAGAUUCCAAUCAGUGGUGGAGCUAGCCCAUGAAGUUUGG
rnacentral:misc_RNA from 1 species